rnacentral:lncRNA from 1 species
ACAGAUUUUCAUAACAGCCGCUGGGCACGCAUAUACUUGAAGAGGCAGGGCGCUUCCGCAACAGCAACAACCCCUGAACGCGUUUCAAGAAAAACUGCUGAGAAAGUAACGGAUACAGUAAAAAUUGUACUUUCUCUUCACCAUGGUAUGACUUUUGAUAAAAGGUAAGAAGGAGCGCAAUGCAUCAGCUGCUGCAUUAAUGGAAGCUCCAGAGCCUGAAGGUGCUGCUGGGUCAUCUGCUCCGACAGAGACAGCUGUACAGAAAUGUGGUUCAUGAAGUUAAAGGUCACGCAGAAACAAAUCUGAGCACAAUAGUGGCCUCCCCACUAAAUAAACAGCAUCACUAGACAAUAGCAUAUAUUGUGUUUUAGAUGCUGGUGCUCCAACAAGACCAUCUAAGUUUGUUUUGUCUCAGAGAUUCUGCAGUAACAAUUAUAUGACAACAGACCAGAUUUUCUCUGCGUGACCUUUUAUUUUUUAUGUGCCGACUCUUAUUACUUUAUUCUUUUUUCAUCUUUUUUCCAUUAGCUGUAGUUUGUGAAGGUCUGGUCAUCAACCUCUGCCUCAGGGGCGGUUCAGAUCUGAUGUUUAUCUGCAGCUUUUGUGUUUAUACUCAUCAACUAACUGAUUGUACAAUGAGUAAAAACCAAUUGUUAAAUCUGACAUUAUUUAUAAGAUCAUGUUUGUUAUGGCAAAAAUAAAAAGGUGAAACUUUGGUUC